GACGAACGCUGGCGGCGUGCUUAACACAUGCAAGUCGAACGGAAAGGCCCUGCUUUUGUGGGGUGCUCGAGUGGCGAACGGGUGAGUAACACGUGAGUAACCUGCCCUAGACUUUGGGAUAACUUCAGGAAACUGGGGCUAAUACCGGAUAGGAGCUCCUGCUGCAUGGUGGGGGUUGGAAAGUUUCGGCGGUUGGGGAUGGACUCGCGGCUUAUCAGCUUGUUGGUGGGGUAGUGGCUUACCAAGGCUUUGACGGGUAGCCGGCCUGAGAGGGUGACCGGCCACAUUGGGACUGAGAUACGGCCCAGACUCCUACGGGAGGCAGCAGUGGGGAAUAUUGCACAAUGGGCGGAAGCCUGAUGCAGCAACGCCGCGUGCGGGAUGACGGCCUUCGGGUUGUAAACCGCUUUCGCCUGUGACGAAGCGUGAGUGACGGUAAUGGGUAAAGAAGCACCGGCUGACUACGUG
rnacentral:rRNA from 1 species